UUGGAGCGGUUAGUGGCGGACUGGUGAGUAACACGUAAGCAACCUGCCUAUCAGAGGGGAACAACAGUUAGAAAUGACUGCUAAUACCGCAUAUGCCUUGAGUAUCACAUGGUACAAAAGGGAAAGGAGCAAUCCGCUGAUAGAUGGGCUUGCGUCUGAUUAGAUAGUUGGUGAGGUAACGGCCCACCAAGUCGACGAUCAGUAGCCGGACUGAGAGGAUGAACGGCCACAUUGGGACUGAGACACGGCCCAGACUCC
rnacentral:rRNA from 1 species